rnacentral:rRNA from 1 species
CAGUCGCCGCGGGAAUACGGAGGGUGCAAGCGUUAAUCGGAAUUACUGGGCGUAAAGCGCACGCAGGCGGUCUGUCAAGUCAGAUGUGAAAUCCCCGGGCUUAACCUGGGAACUGCAUUUGAAACUGGCAGGCUAGAGUCUUGUAGAGGGGGGUAGAAUUCCAGGUGUAGCGGUGAAAUGCGUAGAGAUCUGGAGGAAUACCGGUGGCGAAGGCGGCCCCCUGGACAAAGACUGACGCUCAGGUGCGAAAGCGUGGGGAGCAAACAGGAUUAGAGACCCGAGUAGUCCCUGUCUCUUAUAA